GAUGAACGCUGGCGGCGUGCCUAAUACAUGCAAGUCGAGCGAAGCGGGGACGGGUGAGAAACACGUGGAUAACCUCCUAUAAGACUGGGAUAACUUCGGGAAAACGGAGCUAAAACGGCAACUUAGCGAUGGAUGCGCGCUCUAUUAGCUAGUUGGUAAGGUAACGGAUUACCAAGGCAACGAUGCAUAGCCGACCUGAGAGGGUGAUCGGCCACACUGUAACUGAGACACGGUCCAGACUCCUACGGGAGGCAGCAGUAGGGAAUCUUCCGCAAUGGGCGAAAGCCUGACGGAGCAACGCCGCGUGAGUGAUGAAGGUCUUCGGAUCGUAAAACUCUGUUAUUAGGGAAGCGGUACCUAAUCAGAAAGCCACGGCUAACUACGUGCCAGCAGCCGCGGUAAUUC
rnacentral:rRNA from 1 species